UAGCAAUGGAUCUUUUAUUGCUUUAGACCAGUGUCUCUGAAGUUACAGAGAUGGCUACAACUGGGAGAAUCAGAGAGAUGUAAAUUCAGCUGGUGACCAGAAGGUAGCAAGUUUCAAAACAGAUUAAGAUAUACAGCUUGGUUGUCUUUGUCUGAUCAGCCCAGCUGUUGUUUCUUAGCAACAAUCUCAAGAUACCAGGAUGAGGGUCUGGCUCUUAGAUUUUUAUGAGCCUCUUCCAGUGAUAAGGCAACAAAUGGGGACAGGGCUGGAGCUGCUCAGGACAGGAGCUCUGCAGACCCUGUGUGGGUCUGAGUGGCCUCGUUAGUGUCAAGCCUUGGCAGUGUGGUCCUUGUUCCCG
rnacentral:lncRNA from 1 species